UCAUCAUCAUCAUCAUCACCAUAAUCAAAUUCACUUGAAUCUUCACUCUCUGUCUCAGCAAUGUCUUCUCCAGAAUCAGACUCGUAUUCAUCUCGGAGAUGAUCGCCUUCAUCAGACACAAAGUAACCAGAUAGAUGGAUGCUUCGUGGGCCAAUCACCGAGAAGGCUACCAAUUCAUCCUUGAAUUCGAGAUUCAAGGAGCAAGAUUCAAUUCUAUCUGGUAACAAGGAACACAAGAAAAUUGGACUUUUAUGCCCAACAGAACACUGAAGGAUGCUCCUCUCUCUUGAUGAACCAAGGCCUAGAGUUGCCUGAGUUACAUAAAGCCUUCCUUCCACAUUAUCAGAGUGGUAAGGGUGCGGUUUGCCUGGUUUCACUUCAAUUCCCCAAAAACCCAUUGUUUUCUCUCG
rnacentral:misc_RNA from 1 species